ACGUAGGGUCCAAGCGUUGUCCGGAUUUACUGGGCGUAAAGGGCGCGUAGGCGGCCUGUUAAGUGUGAAGUGAAAUCUCCAGAGCUCAACUCGGAAACGGCUUUACAUACUGGCAGGCUAGAGGAAUGCAGAGGUGAGUAGAAUUCCUGGUGUAACGGUGAAAUGUGUAGAUAUCAGGAGGAAUACCCAUGGCGAAGGCAGCUCACUGGGCAUUAUCUGACGCUGAGGCGCGAAAGCGUGGGGAGCAAACAGGAUUAGAUACCCUGGUAGUCCACGCCCUAAACGAUGGAUACUAGGCGUAAGAGGUAUCGACCCCUCUUGUGCCGCAGCUAACGCAUUAAGUAUCCCGCCUGGGGAGUACGGCCGCAAGGUUG
rnacentral:rRNA from 1 species